GAUAAACGCUAGCGGCAGGCCUAACACAUGCAAGUCGAGGGGCAGCGGAUGAGGAUAGCAAUAUCUUUUGCCGGCGACCGGCGGACGGGUGCGUAACGCGUAUGUAACCUACCAUUAACAGGGGGAUAAUCCGGAGAAAUUUGGUCUAAUACCCCAUAACAUCAUUAAGGGCAUCCUUGAUGGUUGAAAGUUUCGGCGGUUAAUGAUGGACAUGCGUUGUAUUAGAUAGUUGGAGAGGUAACGGCUCACCAAGUCUACGAUACAUAGGGGGACUGAGAGGUUAACCCCCCACACUGGUACUGAGACACGGACCAGACUCCUACGGGAGGCAGCAGUGAGGAAUAUUGGUCAAUGGGCGGAAGCCUGAACCAGCCAUGCCGCGUGCAGGAUGACGGCUCUAUGAGUUGUAAACUGCUUUUGCAGGGGGGGUAAACCCGGGUACGUGUACCCGGCUGAAAGUACCUUGCGAAUAAGGAUCGGCUAACUACGUGCCAGCCGCCGCUGUAA
rnacentral:rRNA from 1 species